GAUGAACGCUGGCGGUGUGCCUAAUACAUGCAAGUCGAGCGAACAGACGAGGAGCUUACUCCUCUGACGUUAGCGGCGGACGGGUGAGUAACACGUGGAUAACCUACCUAUAAGACUGGGAUAACUUCGGGAAACCGGAGCUAAUACCGGAUAACAUGUUGAACCGCAUGGUUCAAAAGUGAAAGACGGUCUUGCUGUCACUUAUAGAUGGACCCGCGUCGCAUUAGCUAGUUGGUAAGGUAACGGCUUACCAAGGCAACGAUGCGUAGCCGACCUGAGAGGGUGAUCGGCCACACUGGAACUGAGACACGGUCCAGACUCCUACGGGAGGCAGCAGUAGGGAAUCUUCCGCAAUGGGCGAAAGCCUGACGGAGCAACGCCGCGUGAGUGAAGAAGGUCUUCGGAUCGUAAAACUCUGUUAUUAGGGAAGAACAAAUGUGUAAGUAACUAUGCACGUCUUGACGGUACCUAAUCAGAAAGCCACGGCUAACUACGUG
rnacentral:rRNA from 1 species